rnacentral:rRNA from 1 species
AUGAACGCUGGCGGCGCGCCUAAUACAUGCAAGUCGAGCGAGAAGACGUAGCAAUACGUUUGUAAAGCGGCGAACGGGUGAGGAAUACAUGGGUAACCUACCCUAGAGUGGGGAAUAACUAGCCGAAAGGUUAGCUAAUACCGCGUACGCUCCUUGGACUUCGGUUCAGGGAGGAAAGCGAUACCGAGGGUAUCGCGCUCUUGGAUGGGCUCAUGUCCUAUCAGCUUGUUGGUGAGGUAACGGCUCACCAAGGCUUCGACGGGUAGCUGGUCUGAGAGGACGAUCAGCCACACUGGCACUGCGACACGGGCCAGACUCCUACGGGAGGCAGCAGUAAGGAAUAUUGCGCAAUGGGCGAAAGCCUGACGCAGCGACGCCGCGUGGGGGAGUGAAGGUACGUUCGG